rnacentral:tRNA from 1 species
UCUAAUAUGGCAGACUAGUGCGCUGGACUUAAGCUCCAAUUAUAAAGCUUAAGCUUUUUUUAGAA